rnacentral:rRNA from 1 species
UACGUAGGGGGCGAGCGUUGUCCGGAUUUAUUGGGCGUAAAGGGCGCGUAGGCGGUGCGGUAAGUCUGUAGUGAAAUCUCUGGGCUCAACUCAGAGUCUGCUGCAGAAACUGCCGUGCUUGAGUGUGGGAGAGGUGAGUGGAAUUCCCGGUGUAGCGGUGAAAUGCGUAGAUAUCGCUUGGAACGCCAAAGGUGAAAACAGGUUGCUGGGGUUGUGCCGACGCUGAGACACGAAAGCCAGGGGAGCAAACGGG